UACGGAGGGGGCAAGCGUUAUCCGGAUUUACUGGGUGUAAAGGGAGCGUAGACGGUUAUGCAAGUCUGAAGUGAAAGCCCAAGGCUCAACCAUGGGACUGCUUUGGAAACUGUAAAACUGGAGUGCAGGAGAGGUAAGCGGAAUUCCUAGUGUAGCGGUGAAAUGCGUAGAUAUUAGGAGGAACACCAGUGGCGAAGGCGGCUUACUGGACUGUAACUGACGUUGAGGCUCGAAGGCGUGGGGAGCAAACAGG
rnacentral:rRNA from 1 species